rnacentral:lncRNA from 1 species
CACAUCCGCGGCACCUGCAAGAUGGCUCCAGACUCCGACCCCAUGGGGGUGGUGACCCCGCGGCUCAAGGUUCGCGGCGUCAAGAAUUUACGUGUCAUCGAUUCGUCUGUGAUGCCUCAAAUAGUUUCAGCUAACAUCAAUGCGGCUGUGAUCAUGAUUGGCGAGAGAGGAGCUGAUCUCGUCAAAGAAGAUCACGGCAAAAUCUGACGAGCACAAUUCCCUGGUGCUGCGUCAGAACUCUCAUAU